rnacentral:rRNA from 1 species
CCUCUAAGUCAGAAUCCAUGCUAGAAAGCGAUGAUUUUUGCCUCGCACAUUUUAGUUGGAUAAGAAUAAGGCUCUUCGAGUCGCUGAACCAUAGCAGGCUGGCAAUGGUACACUUAACGGAAAGGUUUUGUGUGCUUGCCGGCGAAUAGCAAUGUCAUAAUGCGCGGGGAUAAAUCCUUUGCAUACGACUUAAAUGUACAACGGAGUAUUGUAAGCAGUAGAGUAGCCUUGUUGUUACGAUCUGCUGAGAUUAAGCUUCAGUUGUCCGAUUUG